GACGUAGGGCGCGAGCGUUGUCCGGAUUUAUUGGGCGUAAAGAGCUCGUAGGCGGCUCGUUGCGUCGGCUGUGAAAACCCGCAGCUCAACUGUGGGCUUGCAGCUGAUACGGGCGGGCUGGGAUUCGGUAGGGGAGACUGGAAUUCCUGGUGUAGCGGUGAAAUGCGCAGAUAUCAGGAAGAACACCGAUGGCGAAGGCAGAUCUCUGGGCCGUAACUGACGCUGAGGAGCGAAAGCAUGGGGAGCGAACAGG
rnacentral:rRNA from 1 species